UGGCCCUCACUCUCCAAUCUGCUCAGUUU
rnacentral:piRNA from 1 species